UCUUAUAAGACGAGAAGACCCCAUGGAGCUUUAAACCCAACUAUAUACCUAACUAUUAUAACCACUUAAUCCCUUAGCACUAAUAUACUUGGUUUUAGGUUGGGGCGACCACGGAGUAUAACUAAACCUCCACAAUGAACGAAACAACCCUUCUUAUCUGAGAAUUACACCUCUAAGAAUUAGCACACUAACAUAAAAUGACCCAUUAUUGAUCAACGAACCAAGUUACCCUGGGGAUAACAGCGCAAUCCA
rnacentral:rRNA from 1 species